rnacentral:tRNA from 1 species
GGGUGAUUAGCGCUGCUGGGAGAGCACCUCCCUUACAAGGAGGGGGUCGGCGGUUCGAUCCCGUCAUCACCCACCA